GACGAACGCUGGCGGCGUGCCUAAUACAUGCAAGUUGAGCGCUGAAGGUUGGUACUUGUACCAACUGGAUGAGCAGCGAACGGGUGAGUAACGCGUGGGGAAUCUGCCUUUGAGCGGGGGACAACAUUUGGAAACGAAUGCUAAUACCGCAUAAAAACUUUAAACACAAGUUUUAAGUUUGAAAGAUGCAAUUGCAUCACUCAAAGAUGAUCCCGCGUUGUAUUAGCUAGUUGGUGAGGUAAAAGCUCACCAAGGCGAUGAUACAUAGCCGACCUGAGAGGGUGAUCGGCCACAUUGGGACUGAGACACGGCCCAAACUCCUACGGGAGGCAGCAGUAGGGAAUCUUCGGCAAUGGACGAAAGUCUGACCGAGCAACGCCGCGUGAGUGAAGAAGGUUUUCGGAUCGUAAAACUCUGUUGGUAGAGAAGAACGUUGGUGAGAGUGGAAAGCUCAUCAAGUGACGGUAACUACCCAGAAAGGGACGGCUAACUACGUG
rnacentral:rRNA from 1 species